GAAUCCAAGUUUUGAAUCAUGCUUUUCACAGCCAACUCGCCUCUCAACCCUUAAAGGUGCUAUAUGUAGUUGGAAAUGAUAGUAACUCUUUCAAUUUAGUUAAGAUGCUCAAAAUCAAUGGUUAUGCUGUCUCUACUGGCUCUAAUCACAAUAUUUCAGAUGAUGAUAACAGACUCAAGCAGCAAAUGGGAUGUUAGAGGAUAGAAGGUAGACAAAAGUUUGAAUGGUACUACAGUAUAUAAAUGUUAGAAAUCAGGCAAUUAUGGAAUAAUGUAAUAAUAAUUACUACGGUGACACAUGUUAUAAAUACUAUCUUAUAAAACCAAGCUGAUUUUCUGCUAAGCUUCUCCUAUUCUGGUUUUAGGCUUAAACUUCAAAUUGGGGUCGUGGAACAGAAUUGGGUAACCUGAUUUAUCCUGUUUGCUACCACUUCUAAGGUUGCUCUUCGGCACAAAGUUCUUCUAGUCAUGGGCUCUUAUAACUUAUUUUUGUUUGCUUUGUUCAGCCUGGAUAUGAAUGUCAGAAGGAAACCUCUGGUCUCCGUGAUCAAUGUGGAGCACAUCCUACUACUGAUUUAGCUUUCUACGAAACUGUAAUCUUACCCAAUUUUGUUCAGUCAAUUGAUAAUUAUGUUCAAAUCCUCACAAGAAUGGCCAGGCACACUAUCAAUGGCGUCCCCCAUAGCUUUUUAACCAAAGAAGAUGCACCGAUAGCUGGACCACUUAACAAAAUUCUUGAGCAAUGUGGGCAGGCACUGCCUGAUGCCAUGAGAAACUUGCAUCUCACAUGAUCCAUGUUGGAAUCAUGAAGCUUCAAUUUUUGCUCAUCAUUACUUCAUCCCCAUUCUUUACAGGUCCUAGAAUGUCUUCACCAGAAGCAACGAUUGCAUUGUCAGUACCCAGUUUCUAUCCUGGACGGGUCUCGCAAAUGGUGAUAAUUUAUAAUGUGCAACAUCCUCUCAGUGGUUUUGAAGAUAAUAUAGAUGAGAGCCUGAGUUAUUUCUGGUUCCAUGCAUGGUAUAGCAAGCCAGAAUGGCUGUGUUAGUGAAAAUUUGUGAACAUUUUAGUUUCUUUGAGUUGUCUUUCAUUCUCUUGGUGGUUACCUAACAGAAUGAUGUCACAGUUUUGUCUCCAGAAUAUAUACCACUAUCGUUUUUCACACUCAAGAUAUUAUAUUUGCCCUA